UACGAAGGGGGCUAGCGUUGCUCGGAAUCACUGGGCGUAAAGGGUGCGUAGGCGGGUCUUUAAGUCAGGGGUGAAAUCCUGGAGCUCAACUCCAGAACUGCCCUUGAUACUGAGGAUCUUGAGUUCGGGAGAGGUGAGUGGAACUGCGAGUGUAGAGGUGAAAUUCGUAGAUAUUCGCAAGAACACCAAUGGCGAAGGCGGCUCACUGGCCCGAUACUGACGCUGAGGCACGAAAGCGUGGGGAGCAAACAGGG
rnacentral:rRNA from 1 species